CGGGCCUGCUGAUGCUGGCGACUCCGGUGGCGGUCUGGCCCAGCUGCAGAUGGACUUUGUGGAGAUGUUGCAAGUCCGUGAUGAACGGAGGAGGAUGAGGCACGUUGAAACCCUGAGGAAGAAUAAGGAGGAAGAUGAUGGGGGCAAAGAGACCGACCCGGAUGCGGAGCCCCAUGUGGAGCUGCUGGGGGACCAGCAGGACGAGGAACUCUUCAAGGACAUUCAGCGCUGCGUGGAGACCUUCAUGUCAGCAGAACCUCCCACCAACUCCAGAGACUCAGAGACACAGGAGAAGCAAGAAAAUGGAGGCACGAACCAAGAUUCAACAUCAACAAAUUCCCAACCCCCCUCAAAAGCAUCCAGAAAGUUUGUGAGCUCUCUCUCCAUCUCCUUUGAUAAGAGUCCCACACCACCCUCAGCAACCAGCAGACUGGUUUCUCCUCUGAGCCCCAAGUCUCCGCCCCCUCAGUCCCCGAGGGCGGAGUCACCACGCAGCCCCACCCACUCCGGCUCUAUGAGCCCCACACCGAAUGGAGACGCAGCGAGACAUGAAAAUGGGUCACCGAGCAAUUUCGAACCAGCUGCGAAACCUGCGUUCACACGGCAGAGCUCCAGAACGGUGUCCUUCAGGAUGGUGAAGAAGAAGGAGGAAGAAAACAUGCCGCUACAGAGAAGUGCAAGUGUGCGGAUUGCAGAGAAGACAUUUGAAUCCAAUAAGAGCUCCAAACAAGAGGAGGAGCAGCAGACUCCGUUUCAGAGAAACUCCCGACAGAGGUUAUCAUCUCGCUCCAUUCAGGAGAAAAUGGAACGACUGGCUCAAGCCUCACAGAAAUGGGAAAUAUCCAAAUCCCCAGUGGUGCACCAGACUGUGUGUUUAGCGGAUGAGGUGUCAAGGAAGAGGGAGCUGUUUGAGAAAGAGCAGGAGGGAUCCGACAGAAGCCAUGUGCUCUCCAAACAGGAAUUUCGCAGCUUUUCUUCUGGACUGUCUGAUCGAAUUAAUCGCUGGGUUCAAAAGAAAACAUUUACUGUGUCAUCAUCUUCAUCAUCAUCAUCACCAUCUCAUAGUCCUUUGGAUCUGAGACUUGUGAGCAUCUCCAGUAAGAAAAGUUUGUUUGAGAGAGGACAAGACCAGGACAACAAGUGACAAUCUCAUGGAUAGAGACAAAGUUUAAUGAGAGUCAUUUGAUCAUGUAUCUCUGCAGAUUCUGAAGAUUUUGAAGGAAGCUUGAUCGACUCUUUCAGACAGUCAGUGCCAAGGAUUGUCUCUAAACUCCUUUUCCUUCUGCUUCUUUACAUUGGCUAAUUCCUCAGCACUUUUAAGGCAUAGUACUGAUCUACAUUAUUUGGGUAAAUUCAAGGCUUAUGUUAUUGGUUGUGAAUGUGUGUACUAAUGGAUUGUAGAAUGCAACAGGACUGUAUUAUAGGGUCUUUACACAGAAAUUGAAAAUCACAGGGUUUAUCUGACAGCAGGAAUACAGACAUACAGCUUCUUUGUGUCUGUGCCAGACACUCCUCUUCCUUAUAGCUUGACAUUUGUGCUGUUGAUAAGUAAGUUAUUAGGAGAAUGAGGCAUAAUGUAUGACCUGAGCCAUAACUCAUAACAGUCCAAGGUACAACUGCAAUAUCAUGAAUGUCUGUUUCAAUGAACCUACUGGAAAUAAGCUCAAUGAAUCAUUUGUAAUGAAGCUGGAAUCGUGCGCUGAAGCUGACCUAUGCUCUCGCUGCUGUUGUUUUAACCUGCCGGAGACUUAAGUCUUAGUAAGGAAAUGUAAUUUAGACGUAAUCUAUGGAGAAAUGUGCCCUAUCAAGCCCUUUGCAAACUGACUUCAAUCCAUUCCAAUUCAAGCAAGCUUACGUUUCCUUUUUUGCUAACCGACCUGUCAUGUAAUUAUCUUUUCUGCCCAGAAGGGUUAUGCUGUAGAUUAAUUAAAAAAAAAUUUUUUUGUACAAGU
ensembl:lncRNA serine/arginine repetitive matrix protein 1-like